rnacentral:rRNA from 1 species
UGGGGAAUAUUGCACAAUGGGGGAAACCCUGAUGCAGCGACGCCGCGUGAGCGAUGAAGGCUUUCGAGUCGUAAAGCUCUGUCCUAUGGGAAGAUAAUGACGGUACCAUAGAAGAAAGCCCCGGCUAAUUACGUGCCAGCAGCCGCGGUAAUACGUAAGGGGCGAGCGUUGUCCGGAAUUAUUGGGCGUAAAGAGUGCGUAGGCGGCAAAUUAAGUCAGAUGUGAAAACUAAGGGCUCAACCCAUAGAUUGCAUCUGAAACUGAUAUGCUUGAGUCAAGGAGAGGAAAGUGGAAUUCCUAGUGUAGCGGUGGAAUGCGUAGAUAUUAGGAGGAAUACCGGUGGCGAAGGCGACUUUCUGGACUUGAACUGACGCUGAGGCACGAAGGCGUGGGGAGCAAACAGG